GGGAGAAGCAGGCUCCAUGCAGGAAGCCCGACGUGGGACUCGAUCCUGGGUCUCCAGGACCAGGCCCUGGGCCGAAGGUGGCGCUAAACUGCUGGGCCCCCCCGGGCUGCCCUGCCCUAAGGUAUUAGAAGCAAAACUGGUGCCUCACACAGCCUAAUUCCCCUAACCCCCAAAGCAGGUCCGGGGAAUGACGCCCGGAAGGACCUAGGCCUAGAGCCUGUGUCCGCUGGAAGGUGGUCAUAAAACUGCCGGAAACGCAUCCUGGCAAAUCUGACGUUCAACGGGCUUCUCAUCCUCACUCACUGCCACCAUGACAUCCUUUCUUGCUCUCCCACUGCCACUGCGUCCACUGGUUGUCUUCUUGCAAAUGCCUGGCAUUCGCCUGGGUCUGGACACACCCUGUAUGAACGCAAAGACGAGUAUUUUUCUGGUCUUGCCCUCAAAGGUCUUACAGUCCCCCAGAGGGAGAAGACAGGAAUGAGGUCAGGCAGGCAGCACCUUAACAAGAUCCCGAGGUGACUCGCAGGCACUAAAAUCUGAGACACCUGUUGUGGAAUCUGAGCCUUGAACCAGUGGGCAGCCUGGGACACUCACCACCCGAGCCACACGGAACAUGUGUCCUGAAUUUCAAACAGCAGCAUUAGCUUUCUUUUGUUCCCCAUGUCUCUUGAUGGAAAGAAACCAUACAUUUAGAAUUUUAAAAAUUAACUCAGUUCAUAAAUAAAUAAAUAAAUAAAUAAAUAAAUAAAUAAAUAAAUAAA